rnacentral:tRNA from 1 species
GCGGGUGUAGCUCAGUUGAUAGAGCGCUUCCUUGCCAUGGAAGAGGUCCAGGGUUUAAGUCCCUGUACCCGCACCA